CCUAUUAUUAAGAAUAAAAAAUUGUAAGUAAAUAUUAAUUACGAAAGCAAAAAAUUAUGGCGGUAUUUUAAGCUUUUCAGAGGAAUUUGCUCUUUAAUGGAUAAAACACCUAAACCUUACUUAAAUUAGUACCUUUCAGUUUGUAUACCACUAUUAUAAUAAUAAUUUGUUAUUAUUAUUAAUAUUCUUAAAUUAGAAUAAAAUUAAGUCAAGGUGCAGCAUAAAUUUAUGAAUGAAGUGAAUUACAUUUCUUUAAAGAAAAAUGAAAUUGAAAUAAAACAUUUA
rnacentral:rRNA from 1 species